UGCCAGCAGCCGCGGUAAUACGGAGGGUGCAAGCGUUGUUCGGAAUUACUGGGCGUAAAGCGCGCGUAGGCGGCUUUUUAAGUCAGAUGUGAAAGUCCACGGCUCAACCGUGGAAGUGCAUUUGAAACUGGAAAGCUUGAGUAUCAGAGGGGAUGGUGGAAUUCCCGGUGUAGAGGUGAAAUUCGUAGAUAUCGGGAAGAACAUCAGAGGCGAAGGCGACUGUCUGGCUUGAUAUUGACGCUGAGGCGCGAAAGCGUGGGUAGCAAACAGGAUUAGAUA
rnacentral:rRNA from 1 species